GAUGUCAGACUUUCUGGCACCAGAGGUGUGGCAGACCUGCUGCCCCCAGGAUGUUGGGGCAGAGAGGAACCCAGCACUAUGCUCAGUGCUCAGAAUAGUGGGCACCAAGAAUGGUUUGUAGCUGGACAUCA
ensembl:snoRNA